UAGUCCACGCCGUAAACGAUGAGAACUAGAUGUCGGGAGAAUCUGUCUUUCGGUGUCGCAGCUAACGCGUUAAGUUCUCCGCCUGGGGAGUACGCCGGCAACGGUAAAACUCAAAGGAAUUGACGGGGGCUCACACAAGCGGUGGAGGAUGUGGUUUAAUUCGAAGCAACGCGAAGAACCUUACCAGGCCUUGACAUCCUGCGAAUCUACCUGAAAGGGUGGAGUGCCUUCGGGAACGCAGUGACAGGUGCUGCAUGGCUGUCGUCAGCUCGUGCCGUGAGGUGUUAGGUUAAGUCCUUUAACGAGCGAAACCCCUAUUGUUAGUUGCCAGCGGGUUAUGCCGGGGACUCUAGCAAGACUGCCGCGUUUAAGUUGGAGGAAGGUGGGGACGACGGUCAAGGUCAUCAUGGCCCUUAUGGUCUGGGGCUACACACGUCCUACAAUGGGGUGGUACAGAGGGGUUGCGAGACCGCGAGGUGGGAGCCAAUCCCUUAAAGCCAUCCCCAGUUCGGGAUUGUAGGGCUGGCAAUUCGCCUAC
rnacentral:rRNA from 1 species